GAUAUGUUUUAAUUGGCUGAUUUGUAGACUAGGUUACAGACUCUAUUUACUGUAUGAUUUAGCGUGUAAUAAAGCAUCAUAUCUACGGAUAUGUUGAUAGGCAGCAGACUUCCAAUCACCGAUCUCAAAGUUGGUGACAAAAAACAACAUUACAUGCAUUGUUGAACAGUUUGUGAAAUGACCUUUGAUCUUGACAUAAUAAUCUGUCUCAACUGUAUGUUUGUUUUGUAUUGAUCAACAGGACCUAUUUAGGGACCGUUCAUAAUUUAUGGCUAGGGGGUGAUGAUGAUUUUAAGGGGGUCACCCAUUUUGUUCUGGGGAGCUAGGGGUGUUAGCAAUUAUGUACACACAAUGUACUAUCAGUUGUGACCUUGCAACCAUCACUAGUAAUCUUCAUAUCUUUGAAAAUAUCAGUCCAUUUGUCUUAAGAGUUACCUUAAAAUUAGGUUGUUCAGAACAUUGCAUUUAGAAAUUACGCCUCCUGAUAUGAUUUUUAAUGCAUGAACAAAGAGAACUAACAGGAAUUCCAGAUGAAAUACACCUGUAUCUACCGAGAUUCCAGGUACAAUAAUUAUCAUGCCAUGUUGUUCGUUUACUUGACAAACAUUUCUUUUCUGUUUUUUAGAUGUGUUUCAUAGUCUUUAUACAGCAGUCCUUGAUAUUACACACUUGUGUUUUGUGACUACUGUCUGAUCACUCCCCCCCCCCCCCCUCUGGAUCCACCCCUGAGUAUAUGGUUACUUCAUCAUGUGAAGGAGAAGGGGACAUUCACAGUAACCUUCUUCUCAUCCUCCAUUUCCUUAAGGAAUUGUACUUUAUGUAAGAUGGGUGGUUGGUUAGGGAGGUGAUUGGCAAUGAAAAUCAAAUAAUAUCAUUGCCCUAUUUCAUAAUAUACUGAGGGAAACAAAUAAGGGAACACCACUUCAUCGCAGUGUUCCGUCAGAUUUUCACCCACAGUGCAAUACAAAGCUUGUGAAGAAACCUGGGAAAAGAAUAAUGGAACACUUGUACUUUAAUGUGUUCCCUUAUUUGUUUCACUCAGUAUAUAACCAAAGUAUUUUCUAUUAUUUCUAACACUGUUUCAUGUACACAAAAUGUUUUAAUGACUUCAACCUGGCCUGUGAUUAUGCAUGAAUACCAUUGCCUUUGAUUGAACAAAAUCAAAAGGUAAAUAUUUUAUCACCUGGUUUGAAUAAAUAUUUUCAAAUUUUU